rnacentral:rRNA from 1 species
ACCGUAACUUCGGGAGAAGGUGUGCCCCUCGACGUGUAGCCCUCGCGGUCAAGCGUUAGGGGGUCGCAGUGAAAUGGCGGUUGUUGACUGUUUACUAAAAACACAGGACUCUGCGAAGUCGUAAGACGACGUAUAGGGUCUGAUGCCUGCCCGGUGCUGGAAGGUUAAGGGAAUGCGUCAGCGCAAGCGAAGCGUUGAACCGAAGCCCCAGUAAACGGCGGCCGUAACAAUAACGGUCCUAAGGUAGCGAAAUUCCUUGUCGGGUAAGUUCCGACCUGCACGAAUGGCAUAACAACAUCCGCACUGUCUCGACCAGGGACUCGGCGAAAUUGCAGUGGGGGUGAAGAUGCCCUCUACCCGCGACUAGACGGAAAGACCCCAUGAACCUUUACUGUAGCUUGGCAGUGAUUUUCGGGACAUCUUGCGUAGGAUAGGUGGGAGGCUUUGAAGUCGGGAUUCUGGUCUCGAUGUAGCCACCCUUGAAAUACCACCCUGGAUGUUCUGGGAAUCUAACCUGCGUCCGUUAUCCGGACGAGGGACACUGCCUGGUGGGCAGUUUGACUGGGGCGGUCGCCUCCUAAAACGUAACGGAGGCGUGCGAUGGUUUCCUCAGGCUGAUUGGAAACCAGCCGUAGAGUGCAAACGCAUAAGGGAGCUUGACUGUAAGACCGACAGGUCGAGCAGGUACGAAAGUAGGUGUUAGUGAUCCGGUGGUCCCGUAUGGAUGGGCCAUCGCUCAACGGAUAAAAGGUACUCUGGGGAUAACAGGCUGAUCGCGCCUGAGAGUUCAUAUCGGCGGCGCGGUUUGGCACCUCGAUGUCGGCUCAUCGCAUCCUGGGGCUGGAGCAGGUCCCAAGGGUUUGGCUGUUCGCCAAUUAAAGCGGUACGCGAGCUGGGUUUAAAACGUCGUGAGACAGUUUGGUCCCUAUCUGUCGUGGGCGCAGGAAACUUGAGAGGCCCUUACUAUAGUACGAGAGGACCUAGUUGGACGUACCUCUGGUGUUCCGGUUGUCACGCCUGUGGCAUAGCCGGGUAGCCAUGUACGGAAGGGAUAACCGCUGAAAGCAUAUAAGCGGGAAGCCUGCCUCAAGAUGAAGUUUCCCUGACUUCGGUCACUAAAGACCCCUCGGAGACUACGAGGUUGAUAGGCUGGAUGUGGAAGCGCUGCGAGGCGUGGAGCUAACCAGUACUAAUUGGUCGUGCGGCUUAUC